rnacentral:rRNA from 2 species
UGGUGGCGAUAGCGAAGAGGUCACACCCGUUCCCAUGCCGAACACGGAAGUUAAGCUCUUCAGCGCCGAUGGUAGUUGGGGGAUUCCCCCUGUGAGAGUAGGACGCCGCCAAGCG